rnacentral:misc_RNA from 1 species
CGCAGCCGCGGUAAUUCCAGCUCCAAUAGCGUAUAUUAAAGUUGUUGCAGUUAAAAAGCUCGUAGUUGAAUUUCGGGAUUGACGUGAUGGUCGUGCCUUACGGGGUAUGAACUGUUGCAGUCAAUUUCUCACCUUCUGGAGAAAUAUGAUGUCCUUAAUUGGGUGUCAUAUGGAACCAGAACUUUUACCUUGAAAAAAUUAGAGUGUUUAAAGCAGGCUUAUUGCUCGAAUACGUUAGCAUGGAAUAAUAAGAUAGGACGGCAUGGUUCUAUUUUGUUGGUUUCUAGGAUCACCGUAAUGAUUAAUAGGGAUAGUUGGGGGCAUUAGUAUUCAAUUGUCAGAGGUGAAAUUCUUGGAUUUAUUGAAGACUAACUACUGCGAAAGCAUUUGCCAAGGAUGUUUUCAUUAAUCAAGAACGAAAGUUAGGGGAUCGAAGACGAUCAGAUACCGUCGUAGUCUUAACCAUAAACUAUGCCGACUAGGAAUCAGACGAUGUUAAUUUUUUAAUGACUCGUUUGGC